GAUGAACGCUGGCGGCGUGCCUAAUACAUGCAGGUCGAGCGAACAGAUAAGGAGCUUGCUCCUUUGACGUUAGCGGCGGACGGGUGAGUAACACGUGGGUAACCUACCUAUAAGACUGGAAUAACUCCGGGAAACCGGGGCUAAUGCCGGAUAACAUUUAGAACCGCAUGGUUCUAAAGUGAAAGAUGGUUUUGCUAUCACUUAUAGAUGGACCCGCGCCGUAUUAGCUAGUUGGUAAGGUAACGGCUUACCAAGGCAACGAUACGUAGCCGACCUGAGAGGGUGAUCGGCCACACUGGAACUGAGACACGGUCCAGACUCCUACGGGAGGCAGCAGUAGGGAAUCUUCCGCAAUGGGCGAAAGCCUGACGGAGCAACGCCGCGUGAGUGAUGAAGGUCUUCGGAUCGUAAAACUCUGUUAUUAGGGAAGAACAAAUGUGUAAGUAACUGUGCACGUCUUGACGGUACCUAAUCAGAAAGCCACGGCUAACUACGUG
rnacentral:rRNA from 1 species